UAGUACUGUAUGCUAAUGUGAAAAGUUUAUGCAUAUCACAUAAUACGCUUGACACUAACGUCGUUCAGAGAGAGGCGUGACAUCUCUUGGCAGUUGGAAAUUCUUUAGUAACUAUCGAAAUUCAUCAUGAAACUUUUUACCGUUUUGGUGUUUCUUGCAGUUUUGUCUCUAUCAGUUGCUUUUCUGAGUGAUCUGCUUCGAUUAAAGGCGGUUAGUGCUAUUAUUGGAGGAAACAAGGGUGGAGCUUCCGCCAAUUCAGGAGGCCAUUCCUUUACAAAAUUACUCUGGUGCAGAAAAACUCCUUCAGAAUUUAGAUGGCCAUGUGCAAACUCAAACCACUGCAAGAGUUUAGUUCAACUUCAAUGCGUAAGUGGAAGAUGUUGUGCGAUGGAUUAUGGAACGUUGAUGUUAAUUGAUAAAUAAAAGUAUACCAGUAAACAGCAUAAUACUCUGCCUGAAUGACAUUUUUUCUUUAAACUGGGAUUGUGUACUUUGAAAGACGAAAUUAAAUACUCAAAUAAAAUAAAUCUGAAGGUCCAUGAUUGUAGCCAGACUUUCAAAUAGGACUUCUUGAUUACUAAAAAUCAUUUGCACUUCUUUAUAUCGCUGUACCCUAUAUGUAAUAAAUAAAUGUCAUAGCUCAGUUAAGCUAUAAAGAUGAUAGUUAGAUAAUAAAAAAAAAAGAUUUAAAAUUAAAAUAAGCCAAAACGAUCGAUGACCAUCAGGCCCACAGCAAUAAGUAUUUUGAUAUAUUUUUUUAAUGUUAUUGAAACACAUGUGGGAAACACCUAUGACAUCCCCUAACUACAUACAACUCAACUUGACAAUUUUUAUUAUCCAUGCUUUAAAAUGUGAGUCAUCUUUUCAAAUAUCGAAUUAUGGUUCCAUUAAUACAUGUACUGGGUUUCAUUAACAUUAUGUCCCGAAAGGAGCAAGCUUUAGGGAUGAAAUAUUCGAAAAUGUAAUACCUAUCAAUUGUGAAAUCAAAGAUAAGCCAUGAUAUGCUGUAGAUAUUUUGUUUCUAAUAGGUACCAUUUUAUUCUGACAGAAAAAAUGAUUUUUGAAAACUUUGUCUAAUAAUCUAAAUGCAAAAUUGUACUUUAUUUGAUUGCAAUUAUUAUGUUUGAAUAAAUUCAUUCAUUUCUUUUUCA